CACCUAGAACACACUGGCUCUGUGAGGGCACCAAGCCUUUGUGCCAAUAACAGCAGUGUUCUAAACAUAGCCUGAAUUCCUGUCAAGGAAAUCAGUUUGCAUCUUAGCAAAACAAAAGUUCUUGAAAGUUUGAAAACUGUGGGAAACCUGUUAAAGGCCAUACUGAACUACCCAGGAGGCUGAGGGACAUAAAAGGAAAAGCUUCCAAGCUGUUCAGUCUGCUAUCUCACAUGACAACUACUGCCAGAAACAGCCAGCUUCCUUUGGUGAGCAGAGGGGUGGGAAACAUGGCAAGGAAGAGGACUUCAGAUGCUGGCCAGGUCCAGAAGAGCCCUGAGCUUUGCCACAAGAAACAAUGUAAGGUUUGUCACAGAGUGAAGUGCCCAACACCACGGAAGAAAUGGAAAACAUUCCCUGCUUCCUUUGACCACGUAACACUCCAAGACACUCAGAAAGGUUUGGAAAGCACUCAGUAUCACAGUUCUUGUUCUAAUAAACAGACUUUUCUUUCUGUAGGCCUGA